GACGAACGCUGGCGGCAUGCCUAACACAUGCAAGUCUAGGGGUAGCAAUACCACUGGCGCACGGGUGAGUAACACGUAGGUUAUCUGCCCCCAUCACAGACAUAACCCCGGGAAACCCGGGGCGUAAUAUCUGAUGAGGUCGCGAGAUCAAAGACUUCGGCGGGAUGGGGAGUGAGGCCUGCGGCUGAUUAGCUAGUUGGUGAGGUAAUGGCUCACCAAGGCGACGAUCAGUAGCUGGUCUGAGAGGACGAACAGCCACACUGGAACUGAGACACGGUCCAGACUCCUACGGGAGGCAGCAGUGAGGAAUAUUGGUCAAUGGGAGCAAUCCUGAACCAGCAAUGCCGCGUGUGGGAUGACAGGGCUUCGCCUUGUAAACCACUGUCGGACGGGACGAAAGGAGGCCUCGGGCCUCUGGGACGGUACCGUCAAAGGAAGGGUCGGCUAACUACGUGCCAGCAGCCGCGGGU
rnacentral:rRNA from 1 species